GAGGAUAUAGCUCAGUGGUAGAGCGCCUAUUUAGCAUGUGUGAGGUCGUGGGUUCAAUCCCCAGUACCUUCA
rnacentral:tRNA from 1 species